UGACCAGCCUCCCAAGGCUACAUGAGAGGGAAAAAGCAAUAAUUAGAUUUCAGGUGAAGAAACAUUUCAUUAAAGCAGAAAAGUAUCAACAGGGAUUCUGUUUUCUUAGCUAUUCAACAUCAAACUUGCAUCAAAUGGUAGGUACUUCCAAAUCAAAUGAAAGAAUAGAUAAGGGAGUAAUCAACAGCACUUGCAUGGCCUCAAAGUCAAAUAUGAGUUCUUUUUUUUUAAAAUAAAUUUCAAAUCAUGCACCACCAAUAGAGAUGCUGGAAUAUUAAAAUGGAAGUGUGAAUUAAAAAAUGAUCCUUGCCAAGAAAAUGGACAAGAACUUUUCAAAGACCAAAUAGGUUUACAAUCCCAAAAAUUCUAUUCCUUAUAGUGCCAAUGACGUCCAACAAGGACCCAUUAGUCUAUAACUACCGACACUAAAUA
rnacentral:misc_RNA from 1 species